UGCGCCUUGGUUUGUGCAAACCAGUCAGCAGUUACAGAAGCAUGACUUUGAGCCAUCAAGUGUGAAAAAACUUCCAGCAGCAGCGGACAUUUGUGUGUGAACAGCUUUGAUCCACAGAGGUAUACUGCAUUUUUUUCU